rnacentral:lncRNA from 1 species
GUUUUGAGUAAUUAUAUGCUAAACAAUAUAUAUUGGGCUUUUGAGUGAAAAUGUCCUUUAAAACAUAAAAAGUAUAAACAUCCGGGUCCUGGGGUCUAUGCCAUACAUCAGUGUCCUCAAAGCCUCUAUUAGGGCUGCUGUGCAUUCUCUUCAUUUCUAUGGUUCAGUUUUUUUAGGAGGUAAAUCCAGGCAGCUGGUAUAUCAACUGCCAUGUUCUCGUUAAGGAUUUUUCCCUUUUUCUUCUCUUUCAUGAUCUCUAACAUCUCUAUUAUCAUGGCUUGUGACUUCCUUUUUACUGAUCUUAUCACCUUCACUCUGUCCCAAUGUACUUUAAUGUCCUUAUCGUAUGCUUCUGCGGCCAGUGCUAUAUUAACAUUGCCUUUUUCUAUAUCCCUUUUGUGUUCUUUUAAUCUUUCUCCAAGGGUUCUGUUAAU